rnacentral:rRNA from 1 species
CAUCAUUUAGUUGGGCACUUUAGUGAGACUGCCAAUGAUAAAUUGGAGGAAGGUGGGGAUUACGUCAAAUCAUCAUGCCCCUUAUGACCUGGGCUACAAACGUGAUACAAUGGCUGUUACAAAGAGUAGCUGAAGCGUGAGUUUUUAGCAAAUCUCAAAAAAACAGUCUCAGUUCGGAUUGAAGUCUGCAACUCGACUUCAUGAAGUCGGAAUCGCUAGUAAUCGCGAAUCAGCAUGUCGUGGUGAAUACGUUCUCGGGGUUUGUACACACCGCCCGUCAAACCAUGAAAGUUGACAAUACUCGAAACCAGUAGCCUAACUUGUAAAAGAGGGAACUGUCUAAGGUAGGGUCGAUGAUUGGGGUUAAGUCGUAACAAGGUAUCCCUACCGGAAGGUGGGGAUGGAUCACCUCCUUUCUAAGGAAAAUAUCAUCUUCAGUUGUGAAAGACUUAAAAAAGUUUUUUAUUUUUUAAGAUAAAAAU